UCAGUAUCGUUCAAAAACCCUAAUUAUCAUAUAGGUGAGGUGAUUUUCUGACGAUUUCAUACAUCUGCGAUUGUCUUAUACACUGAUUAUUCGAAACACUUAAUCUCUAGCAGGGGCGAUUCUUAUCAAAGCGAUUAAUGGAAACCCUAAAUUGUAACCAGUGGAAUUGAAUCCAGAAAAGUUUGAAGCUUGAGAGAGAGAGAGACAAUGGAAACAAGUGGUUGUUAGAGCCAUCCAUCCAGUGGUGAUGUUUGGGUUCCGAUUAGAGCAUUGGCCACAGCGGCGAUAGCUAGGUUUCUUCCACUUCAAGGGGUUUAAGGGGAUUCUCAAGAUUGGUGAAUAUUAGAGAUGGUAAAGGGGCAACACCUUUUCAUUUGUCUGCCCGUCAAGAAGUUAAUGGAGAUGCUUUUGAGUUAUAAGCAUUAUUAAUUUGGAAAUGUUUAAAGCCUAUGUUGGCAAAUAAACUAUGCACAUAAGGUGUUCACUUAAAUGUUUUGAUGUGUUAACAAUGAUUUCUGCUCAGGCACUGAUUAUAAACCCUAUGUUGGUGACCGGUAUUAAUGAAGCAAUCAUCUACUCAUAGCUAUUUAAUGUCAGCGAGAGAAAGGAAGGCACAGAAACAGUUUACCAAAAGUGACAGAUGCCAAAUAUCUGACAGUUGUCGAAUUUGUUAAAU
rnacentral:lncRNA from 1 species